rnacentral:rRNA from 1 species
UGGGGGAUAUUGCACAAUGGGCGAAAGCCUGAUGCAGCAACGCCGCGUGAGUGAUGAAGGCCUUCGGGUUGUAAAGCUCUGUCUUUUGGGACGAUAAUGACGGUACCAAAGGAGGAAGCCACGGCUAACUACGUGCCAGCAGCCGCGGUAAUACGUAGGUGGCAAGCGUUGUCCGGAUUUACUGGGCGUAAAGGAUGCGUAGGCGGAUUUUUAAGUGAGAUGUGAAAUACCCGGAGUCAUACUUGGGUGCUGCAUUUCAAACUGGGAAUCUAGAGUGCGGGAGAGGAGAAUGGAAUUCCUAGUGUAGCGGUGAAAUGCGUAGAGAUUAGGAAGAACACCAGUGGCGAAGGCGAUUCUCUGGACCGUAACUGACGCUGAGGCAUGAAAGCGUGGGUAGCAAACAGGAUUAGAUACCCUGGUAGUCCACGCCGUAAACGAUGAGUACUAGGUGUAGGAGGUAUCGACCCCUUCUGUGCCGCAGUUAACACAAUAAGUACUCCGCCUGGGAAGUACGAUCGCAAGAUU